GAAUGGUUUUCUCUAGCGCAUAG
rnacentral:snRNA from 1 species